GAUGAACGCUGGCGGCGUGCUUAACACAUGCAAGUCGAACGAAGCGCUUUAUUUGAUUUCCUUCGGGACUGAUUAUUUUGUGACUGAGUGGCGGACGGGUGAGUAACGCGUGGGUAACCUGCCUUGUACAGGGGGAUAACAGUUGGAAACGGCUGCUAAUACCGCAUAAGCGCCCAGCAUCGCAUGAUGCAGUGUGAAAAACUCCGGUGGUAUAAGAUGGACCCGCGUUGGAUUAGCUAGUUGGUGAGGUAACGGCCCACCAAGGCGACGAUCCAUAGCCGACCUGAUAGGGUGACCGGCCACAUUGGGACUGAGACACGGCCCAAACUCCUACGGGAAGCAGCAGUGGGGAAUAUUGCACAAUGGGCGAAAGCCUGAUGCAGCGACGCCGCGUGAGCGAAGAAGUAUUUCGGUAUGUAAAGCUCUAUCAGCAGGGAAGAUAAUGACGUUACCUGACUAAGAAGCACCGGCUAAAUACGUG
rnacentral:rRNA from 1 species